rnacentral:rRNA from 1 species
GACGAACGCUGGCGGCGUGCUUAACACAUGCAAGUCGAGCGGAAAGGCCCUUCGGGGUACUCGAGCGGCGAACGGGUGAGUAACACGUGAGUAAUCUGCCCUUCACUCUGGGAUAGCCACCGGAAACGGUGAUUAAUACCGGAUAUGACCAAUCCCUGCAUGGGGUGUUGGUGGAAACUUUUUUGGGUGGGGGAUGUGCUCGCGGCCUAUCAGCUUGUUGGUGGGGUAAUGGCCUACCAAGGCUUCGACGGGUAGCCGGCCUGAGAGGGUGACCGGCCACACUGGGACUGAGACACGGCCCAGACUCCUACGGGAGGCAGCAGUGGGGAAUAUUGGACAAUGGGCGGAAGCCUGAUCCAGCAACGCCGCGUGAGGGAUGACGGCCUUCGGGUUGUAAACCUCUUUCAGCACCGACGAAGCGCAAGUGACGGUAGGUGCAGAAGAAGGACCGGCCAACUACGUGCCAGCAGCCGCCGUAACAC